GGUGGAAACAUUGCUGAUUAGAGUUGGUUGAAAAUCCUCGAACAAGUCACCGUCAGCUGUCUAAUGGAGCUGGUAACUUCUUGUCCUUUAGCUGGUCUCUCAGUCUCCAGGUCCCUGCGACUACUUAGCCGUGUCGCUCUGGCCCCGGCGCAGCACGUACUCGGGGCUUGCGGGGGACCUUACCCGGGAUAAGGGAAGGUUAUCCCGCUGCACUGGCCGCUGGGCUCUCGGAAGCAGGGUUAGCCAGCCACAAAGAUCUGUAGACUUUCAGGCAGGAUUUCAUGUGACUAAUUGUGAUCCCACUGGAUUUGACUGACGUUUUGGUAAUGGCUUCAGUGCAGCAUAAAUAGGCCUUUAAGAGUCAAACGUUUUUUGUGUUAUUAUUUCAUAUCAGUGCCGCAAGCCAAACGAUGAGGAACGGCUGCUGUGUGCGCUAAACGGAGAGAUCAUCUGAAAAGCAAGAUGAGUGAAAAAUCCCUGAGCUGGAAGAUCAACUACCUUUCUUCGCUGGUGAGAAAUACGGUAGGCAGAGCUGCUGGACACUUGGCAUCCCUUACCGCGCCAGACUGGAGCGCAGCUGUACCGGGAGCCUCCAUGGACCCAUCUGUGAACCCUGCUCAGCACCCCUGGGGUACAGACGGGAGCUUUGCGUACAGCCGCAGCUCGUGGUCCUGGAGCUGUUCGAGCGUUGAACCCUUUGUCCCCUGACAAGAAGGCUGUUGUGCCUUGUACUGGUGUCAGAAGUCCCAUUCAGGGACUGCAGGUUUUAGGAAUACUUUUCCCAUGUUCACCUCCCGCGCAGCAAGACGCAGGAGGCCUCUGACGCUGAACUGUGAGCGGAACCACCGCCAGCCUCUUUUUUCAGUUCACGGGACUGAACCGUUGUUACCUGAAGUGCAUCCCAGCCGCUCAGGCUAGCUUUUCUGUUCGGUGGAUGGAAGUCCGUGUCUGUAUGUACCCAACGGGGUGGGUGAGGAAGGGAGCCCGCGUGCGCGGCGCAGGGUCCGGUACCAGCCUGUCAGCUCUGAGGCACGGUGCCGCCCAGGGGUUGCUAUGCCAGAAGCCGGCUGAGGAUGAAGACUCCUCUCUCACGCUUCUUUGCUAGCUCACUGUUUUCGGCAGAGCAAACCGCCCUGCGCUGGGCCUGUCCCUUCCUUGCAGCCCGUCUGCUGGCGAUGGGGUGCUGCUGAGGGGACCGGGGCCUGCCAGCUCCCUUCCCCGGCGCCAUCCCUUCUUCCCUGCGUCGGCGAGGGAGGGGCACCUGCGGAAGGAGCUCCCUUCUCCUGCACCUUGAGCCCUUGCAGACCGACCACGUGAGCUACAGACGCCUUCUGACAGCAUGUUGUAUUUGGAGGCAGUCCUUUUCAUCCACUGUUCGUGCGAUGGAGGGGGAAUUGUUUCCGAGCACUAAUGAAGCCAAACACAGGCUGUUCUCUCUUUAUAACACAUCUUCCCUUUUUUUUUUUUUUUUCCUAGGGAAGUAUUUCAGUUACAUCUUUAAGUUAGUCCCUGAUGCCCAGUGUAGAUUUUGCUUUCCAGCUAAGUAUAACUUGGUGUUUUGCCAGGAGCACAGAUAUCCGUAACGUACAGGCUCUGACUUUUUUAAGAGAUGCUUUUGGGAUUGUGUUUAUCAGAUUCAGGGAAACCAUACCUUAUUAAGGCUUUUUUUUUCCCCCUGCCUGAAGGUUGAAAUUUUUUUUCUGAAGUACAUCAAAACUAGAACAUGACAGGGCAAUUACUUCUUUUUAAUUUAUUCAGUAGUAGUCAGUAAACAGAUACUUUCUCAUACACGCUCAGCGUGUUUUGUAUAUGCAUUUUGGUUUUGUGGAGGCAGCUUGCUGUCAAGUGAGAAGCUUCGGCACCAUCAGUCGGAUCUCUUCGUUAGUACCUAUUGACAGGAAUUUGAUCAUACAGCGUUAGCUGAAGCUGGGACCGAGCGUUGGCCCUGGCAGCGUUACUGGUUGUGAGAUGGUUGCUUUGUUCCUCCAGCAGAUACGAACCGGCACAUGGUUUGGCUGUGCAAGAUAAAUAGCGAAUGGUUAAAUAGCUUGAGAUUUCUACUCAAUAGCUUAUAUUAAUAGCAGUACAUUUGCUUUGUCACUUUAAUCUGUGAAUGCCGCGUCCUUUCAGCGCGGCAGAGCGAUGGCUGCACAGGAAAGGAGACAGCGGGAGCCUGGGAGCUUGUCCUGGGAGGGGGGAGAUGCGGUUUGCAGCCUGUCAGGCUGAUGAGGAAAUUGAACCCGGGUCUCCCCCUACUUGGAAGAGUUUUCUGAUCUGCAGGCUAUUAUUAAAAUACCCGUAUCAACACGAGCACCUGUAUCUUAGCAGAAAAACUUACCAACUGUGUUUUACCACAGGAUGUCUCGAACACACCCUGCGGUUAGAGCCCUCAGCAGACUGGAUUGCCAAACUGCCGGGGGUGGGCAAUUGGAGCUGCGCAGAGAGGAGAGGCUGCGAGCUUUCGGAGGGAAGUUAGUGAACUGAUUGCGGAAAAUGAAGCCAAUGGAGCUACGCUCACUGAAGACCAGAGCAACAGCAGGAUUUACGAGUGGGAAUGUUCACCAAAACCAUCCCAGCACAACCUUUGCAAGCACUGCAUAGUCUCCAUAAGAUACGGCAUCCACAUGGAAGAUUCGGUGUUAUAAAUUUCACCCUGUCAACAAGAAAAAGAAAACAUAUCUUUGAAGAAUGAAGUCAGAUGAGUCAAAUUUACAAUGCUAAAAACUUGGAAGAAAAUUCUAAAAAUGGCUCACGACUAAGUCAGUGGGGAUGAGGAGAGCUGACAGAUAAAUGCCACUGCACGAGACCAUGCCUGCUCGGGAAGAAAGAAAUCACAACUAGAGCAUGAAUUCCAGGUACGACUUGUCUAUGGAAGAGUUAAGAAAUCAACAGAAACAGGAAGGGGUUUCAAUUAAAUGUGGAGGAUUGUCCUCCAGAAAACUAACGUGCAAAAUAUAUGCCCCCUUAACAUGACACGUAUUAGCUUUCAAAUAUAAACUCGCCCUCUUAAAGCCGUACCAGGCAUCU